GCCGGAGAACGCUUCGUGUCUAGCUAUUAUACGCAUAUACAAGAGAUAUAUAAUCAUGCCAAAACUGAAGAAAACAUCAAAUACUAUGAAAGCACACCGUCAUGCCAUUUAUAUAGCUGAAAAGAGACAGAACUACAAGAAAGUUGAAUAUUUUGUAGGCAACACUGAUAUCACUGAUGAUGUCAUCAUGGCAGCCAUGAACCUUAUGCAUCUUUAUGCAAAUCGCCUCAAAUACGAAGGACAUAUCGGUUACUAUUCUCCAGCAGAGUUGCACUUUCUAUCUCAAAGUGAAGAUUCAAACAAACGUCCACCACCAAUACCAGCAGACAAGGACUCAAUAUUAAUCCAUCCUCUAAAAAACCAUUGGAGUACAUCAUACUAUCAUUCUACGUCUAAAAGAAUUUAGAUCUACUAUGUCCUCGGAACAUUUGCAACAAACAUUCCUCCAGUUAUGCCUUGUCUACAACCAGAUAAACAAUGAUAAUGGAAUAUGUUGAUGUGACGCAACAAUCAAGUGACCCUAUUUGUGGCAUCAUGGCCAUAGCCUUUGCAUUCUCAUGUCUACUUGGAUUGAACCCGAAAAAAAUAACUUAUGAUAUUGGAAAUACUAACAGUCGUUCAUUCACGGGAUGCCACCUCCAAGCACUAAUCACCACUGUUUCCAUAAACAUGAAGAUGUCCACCCCCUCGGAUUUAUACUGAAAUCUUCACUGGCUGAAAUCAGCAUCACGGUAUAACAAUUCAUCACUAGUUAGUUCAGGUAUAUACUUGUACUCUCAAGAGAGUCUUGCUACUUAUACAGCCAUACAUAUGCAAUGGAGACUACAGCCAUCUUCAUCAUGCACCAUUUACUUACAGUAAGGUACUCACUGUUACACUUCAGUUCAGUUCAUUCUCAAUGUUUUCAGACUCGAUGAAUAAUUGAGAAAUGACACACAUUCUAAUAUACUAGUACACAAAAUGCAUCAAUGAUUAAAUAUAGAUGCUUGUAGUCUUCAUCACAUAUCUAUGCCUGUAUAACUUCAGUUAUGCUAACUCCAUGAAGGUACUGUAAUUUCUAAAUAAAAACUUCUCAUAUACAACUUUGAAAUUA